UACAGAGGGUGCAAGCGUUGUUCGGAAUUAUUGGGCGUAAAGCGCGUGUAGGCGGCUUUGCAAGUCGGGUGUGAAAGCCCUCAGCUUAACUGAGGAAGUGCGCCCGAAACUGCAGAGCUUGAGUACUGGAGAGGAUGGCGGAAUUCCCCAAGUAGAGGUGAAAUUCGUAGAUAUGGGGAGGAACACCGGUGGCGAAGGCGGCCAUCUGGACAGAUACUGACGCUGAGACGCGAAAGCGUGGGUAGCAAACAGG
rnacentral:rRNA from 1 species